rnacentral:rRNA from 1 species
AGUGGCGGACGGGUGAGUAACGCGUGAGAAUCUGCCUUGGGGUCGGGGACAACCACUGGAAACGGUGGCUAAUACCGGAUAAGCCGAUUGGUGAAAGAUUUAUUGCCCGAAGAGGAGCUCGCGUCUGAUUAGCUAGUUGGUGAGGUAAGAGCUCACCAAGGCAGCGAUCAGUAGCUGGUCUGAGAGGACGAUCAGCCACACUGGGACUGAGACACGGCCCAGACUCCUACGGGAGGCAGCAGUGGGGAAUUUUCCGCAAUGGGCGAAAGCCUGACGGAGCAAGACCGCGUGAGGGAGGAAGGCUCUUGGGUUGUAAACCUCUUUUCUCAGGGAAGAAGCUCUGACGGUACCUGAGGAAUCAGCCUCGGCUAACUCCGUGCCAGCAGCCGCGGUAAUACGGAGGAGGCAAGCGUUAUCCGGAAUUACUGGGCGUAAAGCGUCCGCAGGUGGCAAUUCAAGUCUGCUGUCAAAGCACGGGGCUUAACUCCGUUAAGGCAGUGGAAACUGAAUAGCUAGAGUGCCGUAGGGGUAGAGGGAAUUCCCGGUGUAGCGGUGAAAUGCGUAGAGAUCGGGAAGAACAUCGGUGGCGAAAGCGCUCUACUGGACGGCAACUGACACUCAGGGACGAAAGCUAGGGGAGCGAAUGGGAUUAGAUACCCC